rnacentral:rRNA from 1 species
CANUCGAACGGUGAUGCCCAGCUUGCUGGGCGGAUCAGUGGCGAACGGGUGAGUAACACGUGAGUAACCUGCCCCAGACUCCGGGAUAAGCCUUGGAAACGAGGUCUAAUACUGGAUACGAGACGCCCCUGCAUGGGGAGUGUCUGGAAAGAUUUAUCGGUCUGGGAUGGACUCGCGGCCUAUCAGCUUGUUGGUGGGGUAAUGGCCUACCAAGGCGACGACGGGUAGCCGGCCUGAGAGGGCGACCGGCCACACUGGGACUGAGACACGGCCCAGACUCCUACGGGAGGCAGCAGUGGGGAAUAUUGCACAAUGGGCGAAAGCCUGAUGCAGCGACGCCGCGUGAGGGAUGAAGGCCUUCGGGUUGUAAACCUCUUUCAGCAGGGAAGAAGCGCAAGUGACGGUACCUGCAGAAGAAGCGCCGGCUAACUACGUGCCAGCAGCCGCGGUAAUACGUAGGGCGCAAGCGUUGUCCGGAAUUAUUGGGCGUAAAGAGCUCGUAGGCGGUUUGUCGCGUCUGGUGUGAAAACUCAAGGCUCAACCUUGAGCUUGCAUCGGGUACGGGCAGACUAGAGUGCGGUAGGGGUGACUGGAAUUCCUGGUGUAGCGGUGGAAUGCGCAGAUAUCAGGAGGAACACCGAUGGCGAAGGCAGGUCACUGGGCCGCAACUGACGCUGAGGAGCGAAAGCAUGGGGAGCGAACAGGAUUAGAUACCCUGGUAGUCCAUGCCGUAAACGUUGGGCACUAGGUGUGGGGCUCAUUCCACGAGUUCCGUGCCGCAGCAAACGCAUUAAGUGCCCCGCCUGGGGAGUACGGCCGCAAGGCUAAAACUCAAAGGAAUUGACGGGGGCCCGCACAAGCGGCGGAGCAUGCGGAUUAAUUCGAUGCAACGCGAAGAACCUUACCAAGGCUUGACAUACACCGGAAACUUCCAGAGAUGGUUGCCCCGCAAGGUCGGUGUACAGGUGGUGCAUGGUUGUCGUCAGCUCGUGUCGUGAGAUGUUGGGUUAAGUCCCGCAACGAGCGCAACCCUCGUCUUAUGUUGCCAGCACGUCAUGGUGGGGACUCAUAAGAGACUGCCGGGGUCANUNCGGAGNAAGGUGGGGAUGACGUCAAUCAUCAUGCCCCUU